AGCUGAGCCGGGUCCCUGGGAUUUUGUUUCACACAGACAUGACGGACAUAUUUCAUGCCUUUGAAGUUGAGUUUGAUCUGCAGACAACAAAGAGACUUUCCGUCCGAGAGCCACGGCAGAGGAGUCCCAUCUCAGUGGAGGGGAAGGAGGCUGACGUGGUGACUGUGAAGUUCAAUUAGCAAGGACAUUCAUUUCUGAACAAGAACCAUGAUGUUCAUCUGAACACAGAGGCUCUGCUUGUGAGACGUUCAGAUCAAGAGGUUUAU